UACGAAGGGGGCUAGCGUUGCUCGGAAUUACUGGGCGUAAAGGGCGCGUAGGUGGACAGUUUAGUCGGGGGUGAAAGCCCGGGGCUCAACCCCGGAACUGCCUUCGAUACUGGCUGUCUUGAGUACGGGAGAGGUGUGUGGAACUCCGAGUGUAGAGGUGAAAUUCGUAGAUAUUCGGAAGAACACCAGUGGCGAAGGCGACACACUGGCCCGUUACUGACGCUGAUGCGCGAAAGCGUGGGGAGCAAACAGG
rnacentral:rRNA from 1 species